AGUGCAAGGAGCGCUAAAGGUAAAAAAACAUGUGCUUCUUGAGUUUUGGCUUAGUUGUGAACAUUGUUGAUCUUCAUGUUUUAUGUUUUGAUUGUUUACAUGAUUGAAGUUUUUUUUACGGGCUGGGCGUAUAAAUUGAGAAACAGAAUCUUCUCUUUGGAAACUUUGUAAAUUUGUGUUUCUCCAAUCCGACACUUCACUCCGGUACAACAGAUGCGUUCCUCCGAACGUCAGUAGUCAGGUAUUAAUGGUAAUCAUGUCUCAUAUCUAAAAGAACACCAUAAUUUAAAUACACGUUCACAGCUAACCUACUCUCUUUCCAGGUUCCGUUGAACUGGCUGUUGACGACGACAACGAAGUGCCACGUUUUGUGGUCUUUGACAGGGAGAUCAGCAAGAAAGAUGCAAACAUUCUGGCUCUUGC
rnacentral:lncRNA from 1 species